rnacentral:miRNA from 1 species
UACAGGUGGUUGUGAGACAGUAUGUGGUUGCUGAGAAUUGAACUCAGGACCUCUGGAAGUGCUUUUAACCGCUGAGCC